rnacentral:misc_RNA from 1 species
GACAAAUCCACUUCAAAAUAAGUCUAGACGGAACGUAUCCAUCAAAGAGAAGGGUAAUGCAAACAGCAUUAUCCAGCAAGUUCUAUAGGAACUUGACUUAUCAGUAAGAAGUAUGGAUUGUACGAAAGUAAAGAUAUAAGAAACAUAUGGCUACAAUUCUGAUAAAACGCAAGCCACUGGCAAACACUGACCCUUAGACACUCAUCAGAUGCUUCAAUGACUUCAUUUCAUCAUGGUCAGGCAUUGUUCAUCUGAAGUGCGGCGGGUAGCCACUGCUUCCCGGAUACUUUGCAGACGAAGGUUGGCCAGCCUGGUUGUUUUGGUAGAGCUGCAAUAAGCCGGGAGCCACUCCCCCAGUAGAACCACCUGUGCUGCCACCAACACCACCAUAUGGCCCUAAACCCCCAGUAGAACCACCUGUGCGGCUACCAACACCACCAUAUGCCCCUAGACCCCCAGUGGAACCACCUGUGCUGCUAACAACACUGCCAUAUGCCCCUAACACCCCAGUAGAACCACCUGUGCUGC